rnacentral:rRNA from 1 species
UUAAGCGACUAAGCGUACACGGUGGAUGCCCUGGCAGUCAGAGGCGAUGAAGGACGUGCUAAUCUGCGAAAAGCGUCGGUAAGGUGAUAUGAACCGUUAUAGCCGGCGAUGUCCGAAUGGGGAAACCCAGUGCAAUUCGUUGCACUAUCGUUAACUGAAUACAUAGGUUAACGAGGCGAACCGGGGGAACUGAAACAUCUAAGUACCCCGAGGAAAAGAAAUCAACCGAGAUUCCCCCAGUAGCGGCGAGCGAACGGGGAGCAGCCCAGAGUCUGAAUCAGCUUGUGUGUUAGUGGAACGGUCUGGAAAGUCCGACGGUACAGGGUGAUAGUCCCGUACACCAAAAUGCACAGGCUGUGAACUCGAAGAGUAGGGCGGGACACGUGGUAUCCUGUCUGAAUAUGGGGGGACCAUCCUCCAAGGCUAAAUACUCCUGACUGACCGAUAGUGAACCAGUACCGUGAGGGAAAGGCGAAAAGAACCCCGGCGAGGGGAGUGAAAAAGAACCUGAAACCGUGUACGUACAAGCAGUGGGAGCACCUUCGGGUGUGACUGCGUACCUUUUGUAUAAUGGGUCAGCGACUUAUAUUCUGUAGCAAGGUUAACCGUAUAGGGGAGCCGCAGGGAAACCGAGUCUUAACUGGGCGUUAAGUUGCAGGGUAUAGACCCGAAACCCGGUGAUCUAGCCAUGGGCAGGUUGAAGGUUGGGUAACACUAACUGGAGGACCGAACCGACUAAUGUUGAAAAAUUAGCGGAUGACUUGUGGCUGGGGGUGAAAGGCCAAUCAAACCGGGAGAUAGCUGGUUCUCCCCGAAAGCUAUUUAGGUAGCGCCUCGUGAAUUCAUCUUCGGGGGUAGAGCACUGUUUCGGCUAGGGGGUCAUCCCGACUUACCAACCCGAUGCAAACUACGAAUACCGAAGAAUGUUAUCACGGGAGACACACGGCGGGUGCUAACGUCCGUCGUGAAGAGGGAAACAACCCAGACCGCCAGCUAAGGUCCCAAAGUCAUGGUUAAGUGGGAAACGAUGUGGGAAGGCACAGACAGCCAGGAUGUUGGCUUAGAAGCAGCCAUCAUUUAAAGAAAGCGUAAUAGCUCACUGGUCGAGUCGGCCUGCGCGGAAGAUGUAACGGGGCUAAACCAUGCACCGAAGCUGCGGCAGCGACACUAUGUGUUGUUGGGUAGGGGAGCGUUCUGUAAGCCUGCGAAGGUGACCUGUGAGGGUUGCUGGAGGUAUCAGAAGUGCGAAUGCUGACAUAAGUAACGAUAAAGCGGGUGAAAAGCCCGCUCGCCGGAAGACCAAGGGUUCCUGUCCAACGUUAAUCGGGGCAGGGUGAGUCGACCCCUAAGGCGAGGCCGAAAGGCGUAGUCGAUGGGAAACAGGUUAAUAUUCCUGUACUUGGUGUUACUGCGAAGGGGGGACGGAGAAGGCUAUGUUAGCCGGGCGACGGUUGUCCCGGUUUAAGCAUGUAGGCUGGUUGUCCAGGCAAAUCCGGAUAAUCAAGGCUGAGGUGUGAUGACGAGGCACUACGGUGCUGAAGUAACAAAUGCCCUGCUUCCAGGAAAAGCCUCUAAGCAUCAGGUAACAUCAAAUCGUACCCCAAACCGACACAGGUGGUCAGGUAGAGAAUACCAAGGCGCUUGAGAGAACUCGGGUGAAGGAACUAGGCAAAAUGGUGCCGUAACUUCGGGAGAAGGCACGCUGGUGUGUAGGUGAAGCCCCUGCGGGUGGAGCUGAGACCAGUCGAAGAUACCAGCUGGCUGCAACUGUUUAUUAAAAACACAGCACUGUGCAAACACGAAAGUGGACGUAUACGGUGUGACGCCUGCCCGGUGCCGGAAGGUUAAUUGAUGGGGUUAUCCGUAAGGAGAAGCUCUUGAUCGAAGCCCCGGUAAACGGCGGCCGUAACUAUAACGGUCCUAAGGUAGCGAAAUUCCUUGUCGGGUAAGUUCCGACCUGCACGAAUGGCGUAAUGAUGGCCAGGCUGUCUCCACCCGAGACUCAGUGAAAUUGAACUCGCUGUGAAGAUGCAGUGUACCCGCGGCAAGACGGAAAGACCCCGUGAACCUUUACUAUAGCUUGACACUGAACAUUGAGCCUUGAUGUGUAGGAUAGGUGGGAGGCUUUGAAGCGUGGACGCCAGUCUGCGUGGAGCCAACCUUGAAAUACCACCCUUUAAUGUUUGAUGUUCUAACGUUGGCCCCUGACCGGGGUUGCGGACAGUGUCUGGUGGGUAGUUUGACUGGGGCGGUCUCCUCCCAAAGCGUAACGGAGGAGCACGAAGGUUAGCUAAUCCUGGUCGGACAUCAGGAGGUUAGUGCAAUGGCAUAAGCUAGCUUGACUGCGAGCGUGACGGCGCGAGCAGGUGCGAAAGCAGGUCAUAGUGAUCCGGUGGUUCUGAAUGGAAGGGCCAUCGCUCAACGGAUAAAAGGUACUCCGGGGAUAACAGGCUGAUACCGCCCAAGAGUUCAUAUCGACGGCGGUGUUUGGCACCUCGAUGUCGGCUCAUCACAUCCUGGGGCUGAAGUAGGUCCCAAGGGUAUGGCUGUUCGCCAUUUAAAGUGGUACGCGAGCUGGGUUUAGAACGUCGUGAGACAGUUCGGUCCCUAUCUGCCGUGGGCGCUGGAGAAUUGAGGGGGGCUGCUCCUAGUACGAGAGGACCGGAGUGGACGCAUCACUGGUGUUCGGGUUGUCAUGCCAAUGGCACUGCCCGGUAGCUAAAUGCGGAAGAGAUAAGUGCUGAAAGCAUCUAAGCACGAAACUUGCCCCGAGAUGAGUUCUCCCUGAGACUUUAAGUCUCCUGAAGGAACGUUGAAGACGACGACGUUGAUAGGCCGGGUGUGUAAGCGCAGCGAUGCGUUGAGCUAACCGGUACUAAUGAACCGUGAGGCUUAACCUU